AAACAGCGGUUCCCGUAAAAUCACCGAAGUUAAGUAACAUCGAGCCUGGUCAGUACUUAGAUGAGCGACCGCCUGGAAAUACCAGGUGCUGUAAG